rnacentral:lncRNA from 1 species
CCUUCACCACCUCCGGGCUGCGGUCCCGCCCCCUCCCGCGGAUCGGACAGACCUGGCCACGCCCCCAGAACGCCAGCCCGCAGCCAAUGAGCCUCUAGACCCGGGCUGUGAGCCGCAUCGGCCAAUCCAGCCUUUGAGAACGCCUUGAAUCUCCGGGCAAGUUAAGUUUAUCACCGAGGCUCGGAACUGCGAGGAGAUGGCGGGUUAGUUAGGUAGUGAUGUAGGCGGGAGUGCAGUUUGCGCCACUCCGCCAAUAAGAGGAAGAGGGUGUGUUAUAUGCAAAUAACAUUGACCGGCCUGGCUCGGUGCAAGCCACGCCCCCCGAGUUCUCUGCAGAAAUGGUGAGAAGAGCUCCAGUGACUGAUGGAAGCCAUUCAUUUAACCUGAAGUAAUCCGUGUUUUCUGUGCCUCUGAAUGUGCCAAGUUCUGUGUCUAUGAUGGCAAACUUGCUUCAUGAUGGCAAUUUUAUUCAUCGUUCUAUCCUCAAUACAAUAAUUUUGGGGACAAAGAAAUCAAUGUUAAAAGUCAGCACCAAAAAGUCUUCCAGUCUAUGCCAUAGGAAUAGUGAAUGCUCCUCAGUGAAAAUAUCUAAUAUGAAGAUCUUAGUAUGUGAAAUGAAGCCAGUUUAAGUGAAUUCAUUUUGGUGAAAGUGAGAGAAAACUGCAUGUGCCUAAGACACACAUCGGAAGCAAAAGAACUGAGGGUCAGGGGACACAUGACUGCACAACGACCACAAAGGGAAAAGAGGCAGCUAUUGAGAAGAUGAGAAAAACAUAUAUGCAAAAUGUAUGAAAUCAACUAUGUAUAUUGUGAAUCAUAAGCACAGUACUGUGUUUUGGACCUGUAGUCACAAAGAUUGAGAUAGAAAAUAAAAACCUCCAC